UUUAACAACUGAUGAAGCAACCAACUAAGACAGUAUAUACAGUUUAUACUGUGGGGGAACGGCCUAUUGGCUUAAACUUAUUUGCUUAAUUUUGGUCCUUUGUAGAAACUACCUGUUAGCUUAAACUUAGCUUAAGUUGUAAGCUCUCGGAGCACACCUAUCAGUGUUAUAUUCUCAUGUUCUCCCAUUUCGCCUAUUUAUCUUCUCAGCCUUUAGCCAGUUAUCAUUGAAUCAGUUGAUUUUCUCAACCUUCAGACUGUUCGCUACCCCAUUAGACGUUGCUCUAGCUCCUACUAUGCCCCCAUUUAAGUCAAAGAUUGUGUUGGGUACAUUGUCGCUCCUUCUUUCCUCCCUGGCGUUUUUGUUAGCAGAGCUUCGUUCCCGCCUAUUGAUCCCUUUGCUGGAAAAAUAGUUCUGAUUCAUUGUACUCUCUGCUCCCUUCGACACAUCGAGUUUCUUUAUUCGUUGAAUCCGAAGAGUUGAUCUACGGUGUUUACAAGAUCUGUCCUUGCUUAUAUAAUCAUCAUCCACCAAUUUUUAAUAGUGCGGCAAACGUCCUCUAUUGCCGGUGCUAUCUUCUUGGCAAACGUCCUCUAUUGCCGGUGCUAUCUUCUUCUCUGAUAUGGUUUCUGCCUUAGUAUCUAAAUGGUAAGGCAACUCAGAUGGCAAUUAUACAACCGUUGCAACCAAGGAUUUCACUUAACAACUAAUAAAGCAACAGUUCAUUCUCUCAUUCUCUUCCUACUUACUGCAUUUUUUUCUUUUCCAAUUCACUUUUUACUUGGUUGUUGCUUUUUUAUUAAUUUUACUACUUUAUACUUUCAUAUACUUUUUAAUAAAUUCUAUGAAUGUAUUUUGUUUUAUUUUUGUUAUGAUUGGCGAUGAUGACAAAAUGAAUAAUUUUAUGAUUAAUAUGAAAAGAGUAUCUAAAUGGUAAGGCAACUCGGAUGGCAGUUAUGCAACUGUUGCAACCAAGGAUUUCACUUAACAACUAAUGAAACAGCAGUUCAUUCUCUUAUUUUCUUUCAAUUUAAUUAGUUCAUCCUCCAACUGGUUACCAUUUAUCCCAUUCCACUUACAACCCUAAUUGGUUCACUGCCCCCUAUGCGUCGCUCCGGCUCCUGAUGUGCCCUCCUUAGACGGAAAAUUGGGGUGAGUUCAUUAUCGCUCCUUCUCUUUCCCGUCAUUUCCUUUAGCGGCGCUUCGUUCCUACCUAUUUAUCUCUUUCGGUGCCAAAAGUGGUUUUGAUUACUAACAAUAUUCAUUAUAUAUCUGAGCCUACAGUAAAAAUGAAAUUUUACCAUCUGUUGUCCUUCGUCGCUUUGCUCCAAUUUCCCUUUUUUCUGCAUCUAUUCCUAUUACGAGUUUUGGUGCUGAUAUUACUCUAUCUUUUACUUAAUUUUAUGGUGUCCUGCUUUAUUUUAUUAUACUUUUUUUCGAUUGUUGUGAUGAUGUUUUUUUAAAAAAAUUUCUUUUACUAUAACUUCUGCACUUAUUGCUCCUAUCUUUUGCUAGCUUUACUUUAAUAUUAAAUGACAAAAAUAAAAUACCCGUAUUUAAGUUGACCUUUUCUAUAUACUUUANAAUGAAAAAAAUUACGGUUGAAUAUCAACGAAGAUUGUACAUGAUAAAUUAACUAGGAUGGCAAUUACAAAAUAAUUGCAACCAGUAAUUCCUCUCGAAUAUAUAAGCUAUUGAGGACAUACAACUAUACGCGACAUUUUUUCUUGAAGACUUUUGAAAUGAGAAAAAUAGUAUUGUUGAUUACUGAUAAUACUCAUUACAUGUCUAAGCCUAUAGUAAAAAUGGAAUUUUACAACCUACUGUCCUCCGUCAGUUUGCUCCAAUUUCUUCUACUGCUGCUUAUGCUUCUUAUGAUGUAUAUUUUGCUAUCAUUUUGCUUUGCAUUUAUUUUGUGUUUCCUUUUUUUCCUGCAUCUAUUCCUUCUACAAGUUCAUAUGCUGAUAUUCCUCUAUCUUCUACUUAAUCUUAGGUGC
rnacentral:lncRNA from 1 species